rnacentral:rRNA from 1 species
AUUGAACGCUGGCGGCAGGCCUAACACAUGCAAGUCGAGCGAGCGGCGGACGGGUGAGUAAUGUAUGGGGAUCUGCCCGAUAGAGGGGGAUAACUACUGGAAACGGUGGCUAAUACCGCAUACUAUCGGAUGAACCCAUGUGGGAUUAGCUAGUAGGUGGGGUAAAGGCUCACCAAGGCGACGAUCUCUAGCUGGUCUGAGAGGAUGAUCAGCCACACGGGGACUGAGACACGGCCCAGAGCCCUACGGGAGGCAGCAGUGGGGAAUAUUGCACAAUGGGCGCAAGCCUGAUGCAGCCAUGCCGCGUGUAUGAAGAAGGCCUUAGGGUUGUAAAGUACUUUCAGCGGGGAGGCGUUACUCGCAGAAGAAGCACCGGCUAACUCCGUGCCAGCAGCCGCGGUAAUAC